CCUUCGAUAGCUCAGUUGGUAGAGCGGUGGACUGUAGUCGGGAUGUACCAAAACAUCAAACGCCGUUCGCAUUCGUUGCCCUCAAAGGCUUCGAAUCAACACAAAAUCUGGGUUGCAGCCAUCCAUAGGUCGCUGGUUCAAUUCCGGCUCGAAGGA
rfam:Musca domestica strain aabys unplaced genomic scaffold Scaffold18860, whole genome shotgun sequence.